UACGUAGGGGGCAAGCGUUGUCCGGAAUCAUUGGGCGUAAAGAGCGCGUAGGCGGCCCAGUAAGUCCGCUCUGAAAGUCAGGGGCUCAACCCCUGGAUGCGGGUGGAUACUGCUGGGCUAGAGUCCGGAAGAGGUGAGUGGAAUUCCUGGUGUAGCGGUGAAAUGCGCGGAUAUCAGGAGGAACACCGGUGGCGAAGGCGGGUCUCUGGGCCGUAACUGACGCUGAGGAGCGAAAGCGUGGGGAGCGAACAGG
rnacentral:rRNA from 1 species